GUGACCUGGCGGUGUUGAACAGGAGACAGGAAGUUGUGAGAUUCUUCUCCUGUCCACGCAACUCUGACUCCCUAAACACUUUGCAGUCCUCCCUACGCAACAUCAGGAACAUCCCGACUCUCCUGCGUUCGAUGUCUCUGUCUCACACCAAAGUCUCUGACUGGCAGGGUCUCUACAAGACAGUGUAUAGUGCGGUGUGUAUCAGGGACACAGUGCGCUCCCUGCCUCAGUCCAUCCAACUCUUCCAGGAGAUCAGUGAGGGAUUCUCAGACGACCUUUACUACAUCGCCUCGCUCAUCAGCAGAGUGGUGGGACACA